ACGGGUGAGUAACAUAUCGGAACGUGCCCUGGAGUGGGGGAUAACCAGUCGAAAGACUGGCUAAUACCGCAUACGAUCCAUGGAUGAAAGCGGGGGAUCGCAAGACCUCGUGCUCCUGGAGCGGCCGAUAUCUGAUUAGCUAGUUGGUGGGGUAAAGGCCUACCAAGGCGACGAUCAGUAGCUGGUCUGAGAGGGCGACCAGCCACACUGGGACUGAGACACGGCCCAGACUCCUACGGGAGGCAGCAGUGGGGAAUUUUGGACAAUGGGGGCAACCCUGAUCCAGCAAUGCCGCGUGUGUGAGGAAGGCCUUCGGGUUGUAAAGCACUUUUGUCCGGAAAGAAAUCGCUCUGGCUAAUAUCUGGGGCGGAUGACGGUACCGGAAGAAUCAGCACCGGCUAACUACGUGCCAGCAGCCGCGGUAAUACGUAGGGUGCAAGCGUUAAUCGGAAUUACUGGGCGUAAAGCGUGCGCAGGCGGUUGUGCAAGACAGAUGUGAAAUCCCCGGGCUUAACCUGGGAACUGCAUUUGUGACUGCACGGCUAGAGUGUGUCAGAGGGGGGUAGAAUUCCACGUGUAGCAGUG
rnacentral:rRNA from 1 species